rnacentral:rRNA from 1 species
UACGAAGGGGGCUAGCGUUGCUCGGAUUGACUGGGCGUAAAGGGCGCGUAGGCGGUUUGCAUAGUCAGACGUGAAAUUCCUGGGCUUAACCUGGGGGCUGCGUUUGAUACAUGCAGGCUUGAGUUCGGAAGAGGGUCGUGGAAUUCCCAGUGUAGAGGUGAAAUUCGUAGAUAUUGGGAAGAACACCGGUGGCGAAGGCGGCGACCUGGUCCGAUACUGACGCUGAGGCGCGAAAGCGUGGGAAGCAAACAGG